GGAAGGAUUGAUCUUGAGAUGGGUACUCGUGGUGUUAUGGCCACCAUAAGACGCCCAAAACUGAAGGUCAUAAAUACC
rnacentral:pre_miRNA from 1 species